UGUUCCAGUAUUUUCACGCAGACGUUUUGAGACAGGCUGCAUUGUUUUGAUUAUGAGCUUUAACAGAGGCGAGGCUAUACAGAAUGUUGGUGCACUAUUGGUGGGCGCCCUCUAGCGCGAGCUUUUGCAUUAUGCGUGGCAGAUCGAUCGCUAACAGCUGUGUUAUGUCACCUCUAGCGCUGUUGUUUUCGUUGUUCGUACGUACUCACGUUUCCCACUCAGUAUUAAGUGAAAAUUUUCGUUUCCAGCUUUUUCCGUGCCUUCCUUUGCCAAGUUUGAGCUACUUUCGAGUUACUCGAUGACCAGUUUUUAAAAACAAUAAUAAGCCCACGGGCCAGCCGGUGGUGAUCUGCUGACAGUGCUCUUAUGUUGGUUUCACCGAAAAAUGCACUUGUUGACGGAGCGUGUAACUUGCACGUCUAUUCUUAUUGAUGAAUCGCCUGCGAUAAAGAGGGUAACCAUCAUUUCCACUAAUAGUUUUUGCUACUAAUUGUCUUGGUAAGCGUUUUGAACAUUUUCCAUUCACCAUACACGGAGAAUUUUUAUUUAAUGUUCCACAAGGACCAUGAAUCAUAUUUUUUGUAACAAUCUCAUACAUAUAACAAUGUAUCUUCAUCAUUAUUAGGAAUUUCCGCAGAUAUCACAUCGUCGAUUUUAUCCGGUCUUAUCAUCUGUACCAACCAAAUGAGAAUGUGUGCAUGUGACAAUCCGCGUUGUUGUCAUUCGACUGAAUACAUCCAACAGCCCGUUUCGCCGAAUACAGGAUGCCUAACAAUGUAAUCCAUGAGUGAUUUUAACUUUCUUUUGAACACCCUUGCGGUAAUGUCGUGGUGAUCAAUGGGUCAUUGGCCAUAAAAUAAUUCUUAUCUAAUUUCUGUCCACUUUGGAUUGCAUGUGAACGUUAUAAACAAAUCUGGUGUGCCAUAAAUACGUGCAUACGACAUAGCAUCCUGAGCGUAUUCAUGCAUAUGUCGCGGACUUCCGAUGUCGGUACCAAUGGUAUCAAUUUGACUUGACCGCUCGCGCAACACAAUCCAGUAGCUUCAUUUUUAAACUUAAAUGACUUGCAGUAUUGGCACACAACGUUCAUUUGUCCAAUAGCAACGAUUUGCUGUGAACUGUAAUCUAUUACCACGUUAUAAUUGAAUGGAGCUCGAUAGGGGUCUAAAACAACAUUUCUAUGUUGUUGAUUUCGAUUCCGAUUCCGUUCAACUUCAUUCCUCGCUUCCGGUUGCUCGUCGCUUUUACGUGCUCUUCUAUAUCUGUGACUUUCAUAAUUGUGAGUUCUUCGACUUAAGCCUGUACGUCUAAUUGCUGGCAUUUUUAAAAUCGAAAAUUCCUUUGUAAAUUAAAGAAAACCAUUGAACCGCAUCAUAUGGUCGAAUUGUUUCGAAUACAAAGCUUGCUUUUCUACUGAUGGGUCUCUCUGUCAAAGCUAUAACCAUUUAUUAACACUUUUUGCAGCCAAUAUAUCGGGGAUUCUAGACCCUAAACCCUUCUCCUGACAAUAACCAACACAACAAAAAGAGAAUUGGCAAAAUCGGUUCAGCCGUUCACGCGCAAUGCCUGGACCAAGGGAAAUAGGGAUUCAUUUUAUAUAUAUAGAUUUUUAUUUAUUUUCUUUUUUAUUAUAUUAUUUUCUAUUUUUGUUACUCUGAGCAAGUAGUCGAUUCCCUUGUCCUGCAACACCUACUCGCAGAGUGCUAUUUCCAGAACCUCCACAUAAUUGUCCGCUUCGAUUUCCGAAAUUAUUUCGGUUACAGUUACGAGCUGAGCGUUGAUUUUGUGCUGAGUUUGCAACACGAUUUUUGUUGAGCUCUGUUCUAUUUCGCGAUUUUGCUUGGGCAUCUUCUUUAACCAUAUCGAUUACCUCAUCAGGUAUACGCAAAUAUUUAAUGGUACUUCCUCGAAUAUAGCAUUCCGGCAUACGCCAAAAACGGUCCCCAUCCUGAAAUAAUAAUAUUAAUAGUAUUGUUAGUCCGAAAUCAAAUUGAAAUUUUAUUUGGUCAAUUGUGCAUUCGAUUUUUUCAUUUUAAAUACAGGAGCGGACACAGAAAUCCGGGCAAUAAAAAAUAACGAAUUUUUUUGUUUUAUACAAUUUUGGUAUGUUUUUCAAGAGAAAAUCUUAUUAAAAUAAGCUAACAAUAUAAAAGACAAGAGAAACUAAUAAGAAGUUUAAACACAAAUUUUCAAAAGAAUCCUUAAAUCAAUAAAUAGUCAUUUUUUGAUUCUCUCUAAUAUUUGUACAGAAAAUUCACUCUUGAUUUUUGAUCAUGAAAUAAAACUGUUCUUGUAUAACGUUUGAUUCUAUUAUUACACUACCCGACACCAUUUCACCGCUUCGAACCAAAAAAACUUUUAUUGAAAGAUUUGGGCCUUUAAACAUGAUAUUAGUGAUCAUCAACUUUUUUUAAAGAAUUGUUGAAAACUGGUAUAUUUUUUGUAAGCUUUUUUCAGAGGUAGCGCUUCUUUUUUAAUAUAAUUUAAGUAUCAUACAUUUUGUUUUAAUAAACUUUGCUAUUCUGAAAAGCAAAGAAAUGCAGCUAUAAA